GGCCUUAUGGUCUAGUAGCAUGAUUUUCCCUUUGGGUUGUACACAAGUACCGCACUUGGGAGAGGUCAGGGGUUCAAUUCCCCUUGAGGCCC